rnacentral:rRNA from 1 species
GCAGCGGAGCAUGUGGCUUAAUUCGACGCAACGCGAAGAACCUUACCAGGAUUUGACAUCCCCCUGACCGGUGUAGAGAUACACUUCCCUUCGGGGCAGGGGUGACAGGUGGUGCAUGGUUGUCGUCAGCUCGUGUCGUGAGAUGUUGGGUUAAGUCCCGCAACGAGCGCAACCCCUACCCUUAGUUGCCAGCGGGUCAUGCCGGGCACUCUAAAGGAACUGCCAGCGUAAGCUGGAGGAAGGUGGGGAUGACGUCAAAUCAUCAUGCCCUUUAUGUCCUGGGCUACACACGUGCUACAAUGGUCGGUACAGAGGGCUGCAAAGGAGCGAUCCGGAGCUAAUCCCAAAAAGCCGGCCUCAGUUCGGAUAGAAGGCUGCAACUCGCCUUCUUGAAGUCGGAAUCGCUAGUAAUCGCAGGUCAGCAUACUGCGGUGAAUACGUUCCCGGGCCUU